rnacentral:rRNA from 1 species
CAGCCGCCGCGGGAAUACGGAGGGUGCAAGCGUUAAUCGGAAUUACUGGGCGUAAAGCGCACGUAGGCGGCUUGGUAAGUUAGAGGUGAAAGCCUGGAGCUCAACUCCAGAAUUGCCUUUAAGACUGCCGAGCUAGCAGGUGAGAGAGGUAAGUGGAAUUCCGAGUGUAGAGGUGAAAUUCGUAGAUAUUCGGAAGAACACCAGUGGCGAAGGCGGCUUACUGGCUCAUACUGGACGCUGAGGUGCGAAAGCGUGGGGAGCAAACAGGAUUAGAUACCCCAGUAGUCCCUGUCUCUUAUAC